rnacentral:lncRNA from 1 species
UUUUAUCCUCUUUUUCUCUUCUGCUCUUUCUCUUCUCCUUAUCCUUUCCCCUCCUUCCCUGAAGCCUGAUUAAAGGAGAUGGAGGAGUGAAGGACCACAGCAAACAGCAAGCAACGGUUGACGACUAGCAGCGAGCAUUGGUCGAUGACUAACAGCAUGAUAUGGUGAACAAUAGUGCAAUGGCGUUCGACCAAGCCACAUGAGAUGGCGACUAACCAAGCCGUGCGAAAUGAGGAUUGACGUGAGCAAUGAGAGAUGCGAGCGACAAGUAAAGCCGCUCGGCAGGAGAUGCAAGCGACGGGCAACAACGAUCAGUAGCAAGCGACGAUCAACAGUGAGUAGUGACAAGUGAAAAAUAACGCGAACGACAGGCGAUGGGUCGACAGGCAAUACGAGCGAUAGGCAGGAGUGAUGCGAGCGGUAAAGCGACACGAGGAGCAGGCGAUGGAUCGACCAACAAAGACAGCAGCGAGCGACGAUGAAAUGCAGGCAAUGGAUCAACCAACAAUGGAAACAUCGUCCGACGUAAAUAGUGGUCCACAGUGAGUGAUCAGUGAGAGACAAGAUGGAUAGGCAACAAAAGCAACGAUUCUGUUAGAUUUUGAUUUUUUUUUUAAUAAUUUAAAUUUUAUCUAUUUUAAA